rnacentral:lncRNA from 1 species
UAGCGGAAAGCAACACCCAGGAGUAAGCGCUUGCAAGGUUAAGACAAAGAGCUCCCAUGGACAGGAAAAAUAAAAGGAUCAUCAGCCAGAAAACAAAGGGCGCCAGAGAGCCAAAUGUAUGCAGCUGAAGAACUUGAAAAAAAUUCUGGGGACUCAAGAGAGGAACCCAUAUUCUCAUUCUCGUUGUCAGUCAUUUUGCAGCUGUCCUGGCCUAGUAUCACCUUCUCUUCUCCAGCCACAUCCCCCACUUCACACUCCCUCAAUUUGGCCCUCCGAGAUUUGGUCCCGUUGGCCAGAGCCAUAGGCUGCCUUUAGGAAAACCCCUGGCU